UACGUAGGGGGCUAGCGUUGUCCGGAAUCAUUGGGCGUAAAGCGCGUGUAGGCGGUCCGGUAAGUCCGCUGUGAAAGUCGAGGGCUCAACCCUCGAAUGCCGGUGGAUACUGUCGGGCUUGAGUACGGGAGAGGCGAGUGGAAUUCCUGGUGUAGCGGUGAAAUGCGCAGAUAUCAGGAGGAACACCGGUGGCGAAGGCGGGUCUCUGGGCAGUAACUGACGCUGAGGAGCGAAAGCGUGGGGAGCGAACAGG
rnacentral:rRNA from 1 species